rnacentral:rRNA from 1 species
AUUGAACGCUGGCGGCAGGCCUAACACAUGCAAGUCGAACGAGCGGCGGACGGGUGAGUAAUGUUUGGGAAACUGGCUGAUGGAGGGGGAUAACUACGGGAAACUGUCGCUAAUACCGCGUACCAUAGGCUGAGCCCAAGUGGGAUUAGCUAGUUGGUGGGGUAAUGGCCCACCAAGACGACGAUCCCUAGCUGGUCUGAGAGGAUGACCAGCCACACUGGAACUGAGACACGGCCCGGACUCCUACGGGAGGCAGCAGUGGGGAAUAUUGCGCAAUGGGGGCAACCCUGACGCAGCCAUGCCGCGUGAAUGAAGAAGGCCUUCGGGUUGUAAAGUUCUUUCAGUGACGAGGCGUUAAUCACAGAAGAAGCACCGGCUAACUCCGUGCCAGCAGCCGCGGUAAUAC